GAUGAACGCCGGCGGCGUGCCUAAUACAUGCCAGUCGAGCGAACGGACGAGAAGCUUGCUUCUCUGAUGUUAGCGGCGGACGGGUGAGUAACACGUGGAUAACCUACCUAUAAGACUGGGAUAACUUCGGGAAACCGGAGCUAAUACCGGAUAAUAUUUUGAACCGCAUGGUUCAAAAGUGAAAGACGGUCUUGCUGUCACUUAUAGAUGGAUCCGCGCUGCAUUAGCUAGUUGGUAAGGUAACGGCUUACCAAGGCAACGAUGCAUAGCCGACCUGAGAGGGUGAUCGGCCACACUGGAACUGAGACACGGUCCAGACUCCUACGGGAGGCAGCAGUAGGGAAUCUUCCGCAAUGGGCGAAAGCCUGACGGAGCAACGCCGCGUGAGUGAUGAAGGUCUUCGGAUCGUAAAACUCUGUUAUUAGGGAAGAACAUAUGUGUAAGUAACUGUGCACAUCUUGACGGUACCUAAUCAGAAAGCCACGGCUAACUACGUG
rnacentral:rRNA from 1 species